UGAAGUUUAAGCGUGGUAGCCUUCCCCC
rnacentral:piRNA from 1 species